rnacentral:lncRNA from 1 species
GAAGAAGGUGCUUGUUUCCCCUUUGCCUUCCGCCAUGAUUGUAAGUUUCCUGAGGUCUCCCAGUCAUACUGCUGGUUAGGCCUGCGAAACUGCUGGUCUUGAACUCCCAGCCUCAAGCCAUCCUCCCGCCUUGGCCUUUCAAAGUGCUGGAUUACAAGCGUGAGCCACUGUGCACAGCCAAGACGCAAUUUUAAAUCGAGCGGUCAGGAAGCCUCCUGGAGAAAAUAACAUUUGAACAAAGACAUGAAGAAAGUGGAGAAUAUUUGGGGAAAAGCAUUUCAGGCAGAGGAAAGUGCCAGGGCAGAGGCCCCGAGGACAGGAAAAUGAGACCCACAGAAGUUCAAGUCACCAGACCAGUUAUUGUUGGGCUAGGACUUGAAGCCAGGUCUGCCUGAAUUUAGGGCCUCAGCUCUUUCCCACACAUUUUUAGCGCAGAACCAAGCUGUUCAUAAAAGGUGUGCCUGCAAAUAGGAAACUAGAGAGCGUGGGCCUUCAGAGAGAGCUCUGAACCCCAUCUUCGACUUUGAACCUGUCCUUGGACUGAACCUGUCUUUGGGAGGUCUGCCCAUACAAAUGAAUCUGGAGCAGAGGCCGGGCUCAACAGAAGAGCUUCACAAAACUGAGAUUCGAUGAAGCAGAGCCCCGUUUCAAGGGCUGCACAAAUCCAGCUGGG